AGGAAUGUGCAUCACAAACACAGCCAAUCCCAGGCUGCUCUGUCUGGGGACCGUCAGAGGACACUGCCCUCUUGCCUGGUACAGAAGGAGACAGUGAUUAUUUGGCUGUGGGUAUGGCACGGACUCUGGCACGUGAAGGAGUCUCUGAAGUUAGCACCAUUCUAAGAAUCCAAACUCUACAAGCAGAGGCUACCAAGCGCAGAGGCGUGGCGCCCAAGGUCACACAGGUAACACACACGUGGAGCUCGGGGUUAAAGCCAGGCAGCCUGAGACCUGAGGUCACCUCAUGUCACCAUAGGAGGCUCUGCCAAUUGCCCUGGGGGACACACACACCUGUGGCUGCUUCCAACAGCUGUGUCCAUCCUCAGAGGAGGAAGGCGAUUCACAUUUGAGGCUCUUCAGAAUAAUGUGCCCGGCUCUAAGGCAGCUUCCAAAGAGGACAUUCAGCCUGCUAUGGCUGUGAAGAUUUUCAACCUGAUGUCAUCCACUGUGAGGCAGAGGUUCUGGCAUUUUGUGGACAAAGCAGCCGGGAUUCUGUCACCUCGCUCUGCAUACACCAGCAUUUAAUGCAAGUGGAAGGAGGGCCCGGGAUACUCAUGCUGUGACCUGAUAAAUGGCAUGCAGAGGAGUCUGCGAUUUUCUCAGGCCAGGCAUGGGGAGCUAUCAGAGCCAUCCAAAU
rnacentral:lncRNA from 1 species